rnacentral:rRNA from 1 species
CCUACGGGUGGCAGCAGUGGGGAAUAUUGCGCAAUGGGCGAAAGCCUGACGCAGCGACGCCGCGUGAGGGAUGAAGGUCUUCGGAUCGUAAACCUCUGUCAGCAGGGAAGAACGGUCACUGUGCUAAUCAGCAGUGAAUUGACGGUACCUGCAAAGGAAGCACCGGCUAACUCCGUGCCCGCAGCCGCGGUAAUACGGAGGGUGCGAGCGUUAAUCGGAAUUAUUGGGCGUAAAGCGCUCGUAGGCGGUAUGUCAAGUCAAGGGUGAAAUCCCGGCGCUAAACGUGGGAACUGCCUUUGAAACUGGCAAACUGGAGUGUGUGAGAGGAUAGUGGAAGUCCAGGUGUAGGAGGGAAAUCCGUAGAUAUCUGGAGGAACAUCAGUGGCGAAGGCGACUAUCUGGCACAUAACUGACGCUGAGGAGCGAAAGCGUGGGUAGCAAACAGGAUUAGAUACCCCUGUGUC